CGGGGUAUAGCGAAGUGGUAUCGCGCACGGUUCGGGACCGUGAGAUCGGCGGUUCGAUCCCGCCUACCCCGA
rfam:Candidatus Thrbacteria bacterium RIFCSPLOWO2_02_FTLL_48_12 rifcsplowo2_02_scaffold_4017, whole genome shotgun sequence.